rnacentral:rRNA from 1 species
GAUGAACGCUGGCGGCGUGCUUAACACAUGCAAGUCGAACGAAGCACUCUAUUUGAUUUUCUUCGGAAAUGAAGAUUUUGUGACUGAGUGGCGGACGGGUGAGUAACGCGUGGGUAACCUGCCUCAUACAGGGGGAUAACAGUUGGAAGCGACUGCUAAUACCGCAUAAGCGCACAGGAUUGCAUGAUCCGGUGUGAAAAACUCCGGUGGUAUGAGAUGGACCCGCGUCUGAUUAGCCAGUUGGCAGGGUAACGGCCUACCAAAGCGACGAUCAGUAGCCGACCUGAGAGGGUGACCGGCCACAUUGGGACUGAGACACGGCCCAAACUCCUACGGGAGGCAGCAGUGGGGAAUAUUGCACAAUGGGGGAAACCCUGAUGCAGCGACGCCGCGUGAGCGAAGAAGUAUUUCGGUAUGUAAAGCUCUAUCAGCAGGGAAGAAGAAUGACGGUAC